GACGAACGCUGGCGGCGUGCUUAACACAUGCAAGUCGAACGGAAAGGCCCUGCUUUUGUGGGGUGCUCGAGUGGCGAACGGGUGAGUAACACGUGAGUAACCUGCCCUUGACUUUGGGAUAACUUCAGGAAACUGGGGCUAAUACCCGAUAGGAGCUCCUGCUGCAUGGUGGUGGUUGGAAAGUUUCGGCGGUUGGGGAUGUACUCGCGGCUUAUCAGCUUGUUGGUGGGGUAGUGGGUUACCAAGGCUUUGACGGGUAGCCGGCCUGAGAGGGUGACCGGCCAUAUUGGGACUGAGGUACGGCCGAGACUCCUACGGGAGGCAGCAGUGGGGAAUAUUGAACAAUGGGCGGAAGCCUGAUGCAGCAACGCCGCGUGCGGGAUGACGGCCUUCGGGUUGUAAACCGCUUUCGCCUGUGACGAAGCGUGAGUGACGGUAAUGGGUAAAGAAGCACAGGCUAACUACGUG
rnacentral:rRNA from 1 species